rnacentral:rRNA from 1 species
GACGAACGCUGGCGGCGUGCUUAACACAUGCAAGUCGAACGGAAAGGCCCUGCUUUUGUGGGGUGCCCGAGUGGCGAACGGGUGUGUAACACGGGAGUAACCCUCCCUUGACUUUGGGAUAACUUCAGGAAACUGGGGAUAAUACCGGAGAGGAGCUCCUGCUGCAUGGUGGGGGUCGGACAGUUUCGGCGGUGGGGGGUGGACUCGCGGGUUAUCAGCUUGUUGGUGGGGUAGUGGCUUACCAAGGCAUUGGAGGGUAGCCGGCAUGGGAGGGUGACCGGCGACCAUGGGACUGAGAGACGGAGCAGACGCCUACGGGAGGCAGCAGGCGAGAAUAUUGCCCAAUGGGCCGAAGUCUGAUGCAGCAACGUUGGGUGCGGGAUGACGGCCUUGUGGGUGUAAACCGCUGUCGGUUGAGACGAAGCUUGAUUGACGGUAAUGGGUAAAGAAGCACCGGCUAACUACGUG